UGUAAGCAAAUGUUAAAUCUAAUUUUUUCCUGUGCAAAACCUAAUUAGCCAUUAAAAAAAAAAAGAGGAGAAGGUUAACGCCAGCGCCUGAGACGGUUUUUGUUUAAUAAUCCUAUUACUGACGGCUCAUCAUGUAUAAAAUGGUGCUGUAGGAUGCAAAAUUUUCCACUUGUUUGUGGGGAGAAAUGUAUAAGCGCAGGAGGCAGGCCGGGGCGCGAUGGAAGGCAGGCAGACAGGCACACGCCUCAAAUGAACAAUGCCAACAUUGAAGCCCUCGGUUGGAGUCUGCACAGUUGGAGAUCUUUGGUGCCAUUUUAGACAUCUUUGGAUUUCAUCAAUCAAACUGACUGCAAUUUUCCAUAAAAAACCCUGAAUUUGGGUCAGAAAGUGGGCAAAGCAGAUAAAGAUCAUUGGAGCUGUCUUAUGAGAUGAUAAAUAGAUAGGCUUUCAGGCCAACAAUGCAAGAGAAUGCAUUUUCCCCCCCGUUUUGCUAAUUCACCCCCAAAUGGGCCUGAAUGCAGUGAGUCUAAACAAUUUCUCCAUGUUUUCCCAUGGUUUAGAAGAUGUCUUCACAGACUUGUCAAUAGUAGCUUGACCUCUUUCCCCCCCUACAGAGUUAACUAAGUUUUUCCCCCCAGAAUACAAAAAAGUCUUUCCCCCCUCCCUUCGGGAACAAAAACAAAUAAUAGAACAUUUUUCCUUAUCUUAGGAAUAAAGAGGUUGUAGGUAUCUGGAAUGUAAAACAAAAACCAAAACCCAUUCUAGGUGCCACUGACAGUUUGCAUUAGGGACUGCCGCCUGAGCUUGCUGUGCUGAGUUUUAAAGCAAUAGGAAAGGGCUGGACUUGCUCUUGAACUUGACAAACAGCCUUUUAAAUAAGGCAAACCUGAAAGGUAAGCCAUAGCUCUACCCACAGCCCAAUAUGCAGCAACGAUUAAAAAGGGCUGAAGCUUUUAGAUGCUGGAAAGUGGAGUGCGGAUCUUAGGCACAUGCACUUAGGACUUAUGCUCCCCCUGCCCCCCCUGCAAACAAAGAUAUAUAGGAUUGGGAUGUAUGCCAAUGUACUUUGGAUAUAUUGCAGGAUGGAUCCAUUUGCAAAUCCCAGAAUGAAUCCUUGUAGUACAGGGUUGCCAUCUUCUAAAGUGGACCCAUGUAAUUCUGCCUUUCUCUGGAGCUUGCCACACGUGCAGCAGCAGCCAGUAAUGCUUAGCUAUUCCCAUGUUACCUCCUAGUAUCGACACAUCAAACUGCUACUAAAGAGACAAGAGCUGUGUGCGUUCUGGUCAGUUGGCAAUCCCUCACCUCUCCCUGCUUGCCUAUUAAUAAUCCUAACUAAAAGAUUUGUGCAGUUGGAAUGAAAAAAAAGAAGCACAGAUAUUGUUGUUUCCAGAAAAGCAACUGUUCUCUUAAUUUAGUAAUAUCAAAGGUGUCACACUGAGAAAAUUCACAAUCAUUCAUCUGGACUUCUAAAAUGGAAGGGCAAAAAGCUUUCAGGAGGGGUACCUGGGUUUUGUUUUUCUCCCCAAUUCUCAGGAGCACCCAAAUUUCUAGCCAACUCACUGGUUCUGUAUGCAGACGAACUAUUUGGUAUGAAAACUGUUGGGUCCAGUUUCCUUGGCUUUAAAAAGUGACUAUUUGACCUGAAUUGAUAAUGUUCUUAAGACUUGAAUAUUAAAACAACCGUGAACAUACACUUAAAAUAUGCUGCUUUUUUUUUUUAACAAUUAAACUUCAAACAUAUCCAACAGCGAACUUUAGACCACGGAUGGGAAAGCUGUGGUCUCCAUGUUAUUGAACUCCAACUCCCAUCAUCAUUGGCCAGACAGGAGUUGGAGUCCAACAACAUUUGCAGGUUCUCCAACCUUACUUUAGACCACGUCGAGAACCAUGUCUGCCCCUACCAAUAUCUCUUUGCCCGUUACACUGAAACCUAAAACACCUUUCCUAAGGAUGUACUCUAAUUGAUGUCCUUCAGCUUCCUGUGGUUGAAUGCCCGAGAUUUGUACAGCAUGGUUACCAGACCUACCUAUGACUCAGCUGUGUGACUCAUCAAGUUAGCACAUACAUCUGCUUCAAGGAAUUAUGGGUUGGCAUGUAUAUGACCACUGAUGACAAUGUGUUCCACUAAGUAACAUGUAUAUAUAUAUGAAUGCACUUAAUAAAAUGCAGUAUUGUCAGAA